GGAAUAUUGGUCAAUGGAGGGAACUCUGAACCAGCCAUGCCGCGUGGAGGAAGAAGGUCCUAUGGGUUGUAAACUCCUUUUGUUCCGGAGUAAUAAGGGGCAUGCGUGCCCCGAUGAGAGUACGGGACGAAUAAGCAUCGGCUAACUCCGUGCCAGCAGCCGCGGUAAUACGGAGGAUGCAAGCGUUAUCCGGAUUUAUUGGGUUUAAAGGGUGCGCAGGCGGACUGUUAAGUCAGCGGUGAAAUGUCCCGGCUCAACCGGGGCCCUGCCGUUGAUCCUGGCAGACUAGAGGACGGACGGCACCGGCGGAAUGUGUCAUGUAGCGGUGAAAUGCUUAGAUAUGCCACAGAACACCGAUCGCGAAGGCAGCUGGCGAGGCCGGUACUGACGCUCAGGCACGAAAGCGUGGGGAUCAAACA
rnacentral:rRNA from 1 species